rnacentral:rRNA from 1 species
AUUGAACGCUAGCGGGAUGCUUUACACAUGCAAGUCGAACGAGCGGCGGACGGGUGAGGAAUGUAUGGGGACUGCCCGCUAGAGGGGGAUACCUCCUGGAAACGGUAGAUAAUACAGCAUACUAUAGGAUAACCCAUCUGGGAGUAGCUAGUAGGUGAGGGAAUGGCUCACCUAGGCGACUAUCCCUAGCUGGUCUUCGAGGAUGAGCAGCCCUGCUGGGAAUGGGACACGGCCCAGGCGUCUCCGGAGUCAGCAGUGGGGAAUAUUGAACAAUGGGCGUAAGCUGGAGGAAGCCAUGCCGCGUGUAUGAAGAAGGCCCUAGGGGUGUAAAGUACUUUCAGUCGGGAGGCGUUACCGACAGAAGAAGCACCGGCUAACUCCGUGCCAGCAGCCGCGGUAAUUC